UGAUAGCUUGCAGACGCCAGUCACACUCCACGUGGAGUCAGGGAAUCCGGUGCGAAUCCGGAGCUGACGCGCAGCGGUGAGGGGGACGGGCGGGGCCACGGCCACUGGGACACCCUCGGGUGCACCGGGAAGGCGCUCCGUCCGGACGAACCCGAGUCCGAAGACCUGCUGGCACCCGCUUCCGCAC
rnacentral:ncRNA from 2 species